rnacentral:rRNA from 1 species
UGUGAAAUGUUGGGUUAAGUCCCGCAACGAGCGCAACCCUUAUCCUUUGUUGCCAGCGGUCCGGCCGGGAACUCAAAGGAGACUGCCAGUGAUAAACUGGAGGAAGGUGGGGAUGACGUCAAGUCAUCAUGGCCCUUACGACCAGGGCUACACACGUGCUACAAUGGCGCAUACAAAGAGAAGCGACCUCGCGAGAGCAAGCGGACCUCAUAAAGUGCGUCGUAGUCCGGAUUGGAGUCUGCAACUCGACUCCA